UACGGAGGGUGCAAGCGUUAUCCGGAUUCACUGGGUUUAAAGGGUGCGUAGGCGGGCAGGUAAGUCCGUGGUGAAAUCUCUGAGCUUAACUCAGAAACUGCCAUGGAUACUAUUUGUCUUGAAUAUUGUGGAGGUAAGCGGAAUAUGCCAUGUAGCGGUGAAAUGCUUAGAUAUGACAUAGAACACCAAUUGCGAAGGCAGCUACUACGCAGUUAUUGACGCUGAGGCACGAAAGCGUGGGGAUCAAACAGG
rnacentral:rRNA from 1 species